rnacentral:rRNA from 1 species
CCUACGGGAGGCUGCAGUGGGGAAUAUUGGACAAUGGGGGCAACCCUGAUCCAGCCAUGCCGCGUGUGUGAAGAAGGCCCUCGGGUUGUAAAGCACUUUCAGUGAGGAAGAACGCCUGGUGGUUAAUACCCAUCAGGAAAGACAUCACUCACAGAAGAAGCACCGGCUAACGCCGUGCCAGCAGCCGCGGUAAUACGGAGGGUGCGAGCGUUAAUCGGAAUUACUGGGCGUAAAGCGCGCGUAGGUGGCUUGAUAAGCCGGUUGUGAAAGCCCCGGGCUCAACCUGGGAACGGCAUCCGGAACUGUCAAGCUAGAGUGCAGGAGAGGAAGGUAGAAUUCCCGGUGUAGCGGUGAAAUGCGUAGAGAUCGGGAGGAAUACCAGUGGCGAAGGCGGCCUUCUGGACUGACACUGACACUGAGGUGCGAAAGCGUGGGUAGCAAACAGGAUUAGAUACCCCAGUAGUC